rfam:Schistosoma haematobium scaffold172_3, whole genome shotgun sequence.
AUCUAUCUGAUGAGUCCCAAAACAAGACGAAAUGCGCAUCUUCGAU